GUGAAUCAUCGAAUUUUUGAACGCAAAUUGCACUCUCUUGGGAGAGUAUGCCUGUUUGAGGGUCAGUCUAAAUAAAAUCGACGUGGUGGUUGUUUGUGGGAGAAAUGAGUUUGAGCUAGCUUCAUCUUUAAGCUUUGAGUUUUUUAAGAGGUUAAAUUUUUUGUUUACGUUUAGACGAACAUAUAUUUAAUUUUUCUUUUUUUAUACGUCUAAGGUUUUGUUUGGU
rnacentral:misc_RNA from 1 species